UACGGAGGAUGCGAGCGUUAUCCGGAUUUAUUGGGUUUAAAGGGUGCGCAGGCGGCGUGUCAAGUCAGCGGUAAAAUGUCGGGGCUCAACCCCGGCCGGCCGUUGAAACUGGCGUGCUCGAGUUGGAGAGAAGUAUGCGGAAUUCGUGGUGUAGCGGUGAAAUGCGUAGAUAUCACGAAGAACCCCGAUUGCGAAGGCAGCAUACCGGCUCCACACUGACGCUGAGGCACGAAAGCGUGGGUAUCGAACAGG
rnacentral:rRNA from 1 species